UACGUAGGGUGCAGGCGUUAAUCGGAAUUACUGGGCGUAAAGCGUGCGCAGGCGGUUUGCUAAGAGAGAUGUGAAAUCCCCAGGCUCAACCUGGGAACUGCAUCCGAUACUGGAUGGCUUGAAUCCGGGAGAGGGAUGCAGAAUUCCAGGUGUAGCGGUGAAAUACGUAGAUAUCUGGAGGAAUACCGGUGGCGAAGGCGGCAUCCUGGACCGGCAUUGACGCUGAGGAGCGAAAGCCAGGGGAGCAAACGGG
rnacentral:rRNA from 1 species